GGGCGGUUAGCUCAGUCGGUCAGAGCGCCUCGCUUACACCGAGGAGGCCGGGGGUUCGAACCCCUCACCGCCCACCA
rnacentral:tRNA from 1 species